rnacentral:tRNA from 1 species
AAAUAAUAAGCAUUUAUGCAUUUAGUUUCGGCCUAAAAGAAGAUAUAAAAAUUAUAUCAUUAUUUA